UAGAAUGUAAGUUUCCUUUUCUUCAUCUCCGACCUUUUGAUUUGAUAUUUGUCUAGCUUUAAUUUUUCAGUUUAUAAUCGAUGAUCUUAGUAAGAUAUCUUGUUUUAUGGGUGAAUGAGUGAUCAAAGAGUACAAUAUUUGAUUUCACUUUGAAAUGGUUCUAUCUAUGGUAUGUGUUAAUUGUUGAAAUUUGGUAAGAAAUUUGAAUCAUGGUUCUAGGGUUUUAAUUUUGAGGAUAGAAGGUAUGUUUCUGAAGAGAUAAUUUAGUAUUGGUUUCUAUAAUUUUGUUACAUUUAGAUGCAUAUGCAGAUAGAUGUUAUGCUCUAAAAUGAUGAUCUCAAUUUUAAGUGUCGUUGAAGAAGUAAUGAGCUUAAUGUGAGACCAAUUGUAAUUGGUUUGGGAGCAUUUGAAUUCCACACCUGUAAAGAAAAUGGGGAAAUUUGCAGCAUUUUUGGGGAUUUGAGAAUGAUUUAUGCAUGAUAUUUUAGACUGGUUUAUGCUUAUUUUAGGGACUGGUUUCUGCAGGUAUUGGGCUGGUUUUGGUGUCUGUUUUGGAUCAUCAAUUACUGAUACAUAGGUGUCUAUUUUGAUGAUGUAAUUGGAAUUAGUAUUUUAAUGUGGUUCCCGAGGGUCUAGAUAACAAGGGACACAUUUACAUUAGUAACACAAGUCCCUCAAAUGUUGUCAAAGCAUACUACAAGCAAUUU